rnacentral:lncRNA from 1 species
GGCAAAGAAGAAUUGAUUUAUUCAAUGAUAGCAAAGUUGCGUUGUUACAAGCCUAUGUGAGGCGACUGUAAAUAAAUACCGCUAAACAAAUAAAUUGACUUGAUAAAAAAAAAUAUUCUAAGUGAUUGUACUACGCUUGUUCUUCUUCCACGUCUUCCUUGUACUCGUUUGUUUUACUGUGCUGAUGGUAGAUUGACUUCUUUUGGCGUCUCUAUGCCUGUCGAGUAUAAAU